rnacentral:rRNA from 1 species
AUUGAACGCUGGCGGCAGGCUUAACACAUGCAAGUCGAGCGGAGUGAUGGUGCUUGCACUAUCACAUAGCGGCGGACGGGUGAGUAAUGCUUAGGAAUCUGCCAUUUAGUGGGGGACAACAUUCCGAAAGGAAUGCUAAUACCGCAUACGUUCUACGGGAGAAAGCAGGGGAGCUUCGGACCUUGCGCUAAAUGAUGAGCCUAAGUAGGGUUAGCUAGUUGGUGGGGUAAAGGCCUACCAAGGCGACGAUCUGUAGCGGGUCUGAGAGGAUGAUCCGCCACCCUGGGACUGAGACACCGCCCAGAAUCCUACGGGAGGUAGCAGUGGGGAAUAUUGGACAAUGGGCGGAAGCCUGAUCCAGCCAUGCCGCGUGUGUGAAGAAGGCCUUUUGGUUGUAAAGCACUUUAAGCGAGGAGGAGGCUCUCCUAGUUAAUACCUAGGAAGAGUGGACGUUACUCGCAGAAUAAGCACCGGCUAACUCUGUGCCAGCAGCCGCAGUAACAC